ensembl:lncRNA
GAAACGUCCUGCUGAAGAGAAAGGUGGAGCUGAAAGUCAGAGUGUGUCAGGUGGAGGUGGAGGAGGGGGUGGAGUCUGUCCAGCUGCCCUUCAAAACCACACAAAACCUGCCUGGAGAUGCUAAAGUGGAGUGGUGGGAGGUGAGUUCAUACCACAAGCUUCUCGUGUAUGAGAACGGCUCUGACCAGCCUGAAGAACAGCACCAGGAUUACAGAGACCGAACGGCAAUAAAUGAAGACCUGCUGAAAACUGGAGACCUCAGUCUGACCCUGAAACAGCCCACAGAGAGAGACAGUGGAGAAUACAGAUGUGGCGUCUACAGGAAGAACAUCUGGAUCAGAGGGAAAACUGUGCAGCUUAAAGUCAAAGGGAGAGUUCAGGUCCAGGAUCAAACAGGGG